rnacentral:sRNA from 1 species
ACGGCAGAAGAAUGCGAAUGGGCGAUGAGGGAGCGUUAGGCACAACCGUUUGUGCUCUGGCGAUUGGUGGUCCACUGAUUUGGGGACAGAGGAUUCUUUUUUUUAGCUUUUUCGGUUUCAGGUACAGAAGUUACGCUGCGUAAACAUCUCACGUCCACAGAAAUGUCUACCAGAUGAGGGGCCGAAAGCAGGCGAAAGAAGAAGACGUGCACAGCCAGCUCUCCAAAAAAAAAAAGGGGGAUGGAGGAGGAGGAGUUACUAGUAAUCAUUAGAUAAGGCUAGGACAAAUGAAGGAUCGAUAUACAAUAACAAUAUGAAACUGCACAGGUGUCUGUCUGAAUGAGAGCAUGCUCCGUAGUAAG